GACGUAGGGCGCGAGCGUUGUCCGGAUUUAUUGGGCGUAAAGAGCUCGUAGGCGGCUUGUUGCGUCGACUGUGAAAACCCGCGGCUUAACUGCGGGCUUGCAGUUGAUACGGGCAGGCUAGAGUUCGGUAGGGGAGACUGGAAUUCCUGGUGUAGCGGUGAAAUGCGUAGAUAUCAUUUGGAACGCCAAUGGUGAAAACAGGUAGCUGGGGCUGUGCUGACACUGAGACACGAAAGCCAGGGGAGCGAACGGG
rnacentral:rRNA from 1 species